ACACACUCCCACAUACAGAUUUAAUUGAUUUCUUUCAUAAAUUGCAGUGACUGCUCUAAAAUAUGAAACGCCAAUGUUUCAGGAGUUUAGGAUACAGAAC